rnacentral:tRNA from 1 species
CGCGGGGUAGAGCAGUACGGUAGCUCGUCGGGCUCAUAACCCGGAGGUCGUCGGUUCGAAUCCGACCCCCGCAA